rnacentral:rRNA from 1 species
UACGAGUGCCUCAAGCGUUAUCCGGAAUUAUUGGGCGUAAAGGGUGUGUAGGUGGUUUUGUUAGUCUUCUGUCGAAUCUCUCGGCUUAACCGAGAGCUCGCAGGGGAAACGGCAAGACUUAGAGUAUACGAGGGGUCUGUGGAACUCAUAGUGUAGCGGUGAAGUGCGUUGAUAUUAUGGGGAACACCAAAAGCGAAGGCAGCAGACUGGAGUAUUACUGACACUGAAACACGAAAGCGUGGGUAGCGAAUGGGAUUAGAUA